rnacentral:rRNA from 1 species
GACGAACCGUACGAACGUUAUUCGGAAUCACUGGGCUUAAAGGGUGCGUAGGCGGCGCUGAAAGUUGGGUGUGAAAUCCCUCGGCUUAACCGAGGAAUUGCGCCCAAAACUACAGUGCUUGAGGGAGAUAGAGGUGAGUGGAACUUAGGGUGGAGCGGUGAAAUGCGUUGAUAUCCUAAGGAACACCAGUGGCGAAAGCGACUCACUGGGUCUUCUCUGACGCUGAGGCACGAAAGCUAGGGUAGCGAACGGG